ensembl:lncRNA
AAAAAAAAAAAAAAAAAGAAAUUGAUAAACUGACAAAGUGAAAAAGUGCUUACUACGAGACCACAUCUUUUUUUUUCCCCCUGACCUAAUCGCAAUUUAAAGAACUGCUCCGUCUGCGUUUGAACAUCCGACGCUUGACUCGGACGCUUUUAAAUCGGUGGUCGGUGUUUUUCAGUGUUUUCAGUUCCUCACAGUGUAAAAUUUGCCUGCUAACUGCUUUCCGAGCAAAAACAUCUUUGGUUUUCGUGUCCAUCAUAAAGAAGAACGGAUCGACUCUGAACUCUGUCGAGGUGGUGUAAACAGCUAGAGGACAAAGUGUGUAAAGCCCGUGUUCAGAGUGACGGCCUGCUUUUUAAGGAAACAAAUCCUCUUUACCUUCACGAUUUGCAUAAACUCUACAGGUUGAUUUAUUUCCUGGAGUGAACAGCAGCUUUGUUCUUGCCAUCUUGCAUAUGGAUUAACAGGGGCUCUGUGUGUGUGUGUGUGUGUGUGUGUGUGUGUGUGUGUAUGUCUCUCGUAUAACAGUGUGUCUUUCAUACAGUAAUGCAGAACCGGGCUUUCUGCCAAAUCGCCACAUGUGAUGCCGUCCAAAGGGUUCCAGUGUGCCGAGCAGGUGAAUGAACAGGCCGCUGUGUUAGACCUGAGAUUGGAAUGAAUGCAGCCACUCAGUGAAAGUGUGUUACCCUCGGGUGAGAGUUUCUCACGUAUCACUGGACAAGAAGAGGUUGCUGGGGUUGUGUGGCGUUAAAAGGCUACGUGCAUGGACGUGUUCAGGACCUGCCCUCGGUGAGUUUAAUGCUCGACUGCCUUUACAUUACAGGUCUAUAAUCUCCUCGUGCCUUGGGGAACCGUGCGAGACCGUGAGCUCAGGUGCAUCAGGAAGCACUUCCUCUUUUCCCCUGACUUUCUCACCUGACAUUCUCUCAGUCUUUCUUCUAUCCCUCCAUUCCGUCGUGCUUCCACAGUCGCGCUCCGUCACUUCCUGUCUCCUUAUUUUAUUCUCAUGCCUCAUCACAUCUCGGAGAAGUCCCUCCUUCUCUUCUCUCUUCUCUCCUUCUCCUGUCUCAGGAGAAGUAAACGUGAAUAAGGGGUUAAUGAAC